rnacentral:rRNA from 1 species
UACGUAGGGGGCAAGCGUUGUCCGGAAUCAUUGGGCGUAAAGCGCGUGUAGGCGGUUCAGUAAGUCUGCUGUGAAAGUCCAGGGCUCAACCCUGGGAUGCCGGUGGAUACUGCUGGGCUAGAGUGCGGAAGAGGCGAGUGGAAUUCCCGGUGUAGCGGUGAAAUGCGCAGAUAUCGGGAGGAACACCAAUUGCGAAGGCAGCUCGCUGGGACGUCACUGACGCUGAGACGCGAAAGCGUGGGGAGCAUACAGG